rnacentral:lncRNA from 1 species
AGGCUGGGGCUGGAGGAGUCCCCGUUCUCUCUCCCCCGCCCCCCAAGUAGACCUCUUCCCCUCUCCCAAAGCUGGCUAGCGGGGCAUCAGUGGAUGAGGGAGCUGGUAGGAACUCAGCCGCUCUCUCUCAGGUGUUGGGAAGCAGUAGAGGCCACAGGAGAAGAACGAGCACAUGCCCUUAAGACAUCGUGCCAGUGGGUCUGGAUCUUACCCACUGAAUAGUGCCCGCGACACCCCAUCUCUCCACCUCAGCUUUGCAUUUUUCCUGGCUCUACUUACAGGGUAAGAGGUUAAGACUUGGGGCUGGCUUGAAUGGGAAGGGGAAACCGGCCACACAGCUCCCAUCAAGCUUGAUCAUAAUGCAUCAGAGCCACAAAACAAAGUACCAUCUCUCCUGCUGAGUAAACAACUUGGGGCACAGCUUCCUGCGCCCACCUCUACCUCUCCCCCUGCAUGUGGGCAACUCCCACAUGCCCGGCCGGCCACCGUGUGGCAGGAACAAAAAAAGCAGGCUCGGGAGGCAGCUGCAAAGGACAGGACGGCGGUUUUAUAUGUGGCAAAAUACUUCUAGGGGAGUACAGACAAACAGACAGACAGAUGGGGGCACAGGACACCAGACAGGGAGGGAGGAAGGUUGGGCAGUGGUGUCUUCUAACCAGUAAGUGGAAGCUGCACCCCACCCCAGGUGGGGGGGUGGGACAACAUUGGCACAGGAGGUGGCGAGACAGGCAUGAGGUGCCCAUCCCUGAGGCGGGCAGCCGGGCAGGGCCCAGUCCUCGUUGGCACAAUCGGCUCUCUCUGGCCCAGCUGGGUGCUGGAGAGGGGCAGGGCUGCUGGGCUGUAGGGAUGCUAGGCAGAGGGACACUCCAGGGCAGAGGGGGUACCAAGGCCUCUCCCAGAGGGAGUGGACAUGGGUAAAGGACAGGGUCACAAGAGGCAAAUCCGGAGCAGCAGCAGCAGCCAAGCCCCCCAGGGGAGAUCCGAGGUCCCGAGGCAACCGCUGGGGUGGUGAUCGCCUCUUGGGCACCCACCCCCAGGGCCUCUCCCCUGGGGCCUCCGGGUGAGAGUGAAGGAGCAGUUUUUUGGUUUCAAAAUGAGGCGGACUAAAGUGUUCCAUGGGUGCCACACCCAGGUGAAACAGGGUGGGGGGCUCAGACGCAGAGGGGCCCCCCUCUUCAGACGGCAGUAGGCAAAGGAUGUUGUAGGCAAAGCUCAUUCCUGGGGUAGGCGAAGGCUGAGGCAUGGAAGUGGUGGGGUGGGUAGCAGUGUCUUGGGCUGCCCACUCCUCAGGGGUCUAGGUCCUGGGCAGGCAGAGGGCACUACAUCUGAUGCCUAUCCCCUUCUACCCAGACCCCUCCCCAAGACAAGCUCCCCAUGGGGCUUCCGUUCCAUAGCUUCCACCCACCAGACAACGCUGCCAGGAAGCUGGGGAAGGGGUGGGCACGGUGAAGGACUCUGGACCUGGGGUUUGGGGAAGAGAGCCUUCGUGGGAAAGAGUCUGUGGUCUCCCUCUCCAGGAAAAGCCCCCCCACCCUUCCCAAAUACUCCAGGUUGGGGAAAGAAAGGGCUACCCCAUGUAGGACCCUUAUUUAGAGCCCCAAGUAGAGUUAAGGAAGUGCACCUUUUCUCUGGGAGUGAGGGGAGAGAGCCCCCUGAUGUGGGGAAGAGGGGACACUGCAGAAAGGUGGGCAUCCCCCUAUCCAUCCACAGCAGGUAAGUGAAAAACCUACAGUUGGGGCUUAAAGUUAUCCCAGGAGGUGGGAUGCUACCACCAAAGAAACCCCAAAAAUCGAGCAAAGGCAUCUGAAAGGUGGGAGACAGCGCCCCCUGGAGGAAAGAUACAUCCCUGUGGUGAGCCCCUCUGUCCCGCCCCUCCCCCGGGCUCAGAGCCCUUCCCCCCACUGUGUGGCCCCUGCUUCUCAGCGGAUGUAGACACCUCGCCCCCAGCCUUCCAGCUCAUUCUUGUUGCGCCCCAAAACUGGACCCCCACCCUCUGCGCAGUAGCGGGCCUUAUUCCGGCCGCGGUUCCGGUUGUCGGUCAGCUCCUCUUCACAGUCUUCUUCCUCAUCCUCCCAGGAUCCCUGCCGGGCUGGUGGGGUGCUGCCCCCUGCAGGGUCUCCAAGCCCUGGGCCCUCUGAGGGGUCAGUUUCCAUGUCCACACAUGAGUCUCCCAGCUCCGUGUAGGCAGAGUUUCGGUUGCCAGAGGUGUCGGCAUCAAACGUGUCUUGGCGAGACAGUGCCCGAAGGGUGCCCGCCCGGCCUGGUGGGUGGCUGCUGGGAUAAAGGCCUGGGGGCUGGCCCAGCUCCCCCGGGUACUCGUGCACGCUGGCGUGCUCCCCGGUGGCCCGUUCCAGCGACUGGUCCCCGGAAGCAAGGUAGGGUCCCUGGUUAGCAGACGGACAGCACACACCAUGCAGAUCAGGCAGGGGUGAAAGAGACACAACAAAGCAAGGCAGGUUAGUAACGGCACCAAGAUACGCAGCCUGGCUACAGGAGGUGGGUACUGGCUCUAGGGGAUGGGCAGUCAGGCAAACGGCUCUACAGCCCAGCCAGAGGACAGACCUCUGGGCAUCUACUCCUCUACUGGGACGGGAGGCACCCAACAUUCAUAAGACAUGAGGAGGCACGAACUCUUCCGGUAACCAUGGUAGAGAGCCCACGAACAAUUUGUCAUUGCUUCCUCAAUGCACGUCAUUAAUGCUGUCUUGGGCUAAAUCAUCAUUAACAGCUCAUUAGUAUCGCCACUUGUUAGUGGUUGAUUGGGUUAGUCACUGCCCCAGUUUUCCAAAUAUACUCAGGGAAUUUCAGCUCAGAGCUCACUAACCCAAGCUCCUUCAGCCCAAACCAGACCCCAACCGCAGGCUCCCAGAACCCCUACGCUUUCCCCUAGCCAGUCCCUAGUCAGAGAACAAAGUUUCCAAGGUUGAUGAGAUUCCCGUGUGCCCCCAGCAAAGAUCGAAGCAGCAGGCUGGAGAAAGCCAAUGGGUCUCUAUCCCCCAGUAGAGACAAUGAGGUGGCCCAACAUCCUCAGCACCAAAUGCCACAUGAAGGUGAUCUGAUGGUCACUGUCACCAUGGAGGUGGUUGGGUGAGGUGCAAGAAGGCCUGGGUUCUGGUCCCAUCCCCUGCCACUUCAAGCUGUGUGACCCUGAGCAAAUGACUCUCCUCUCUACGGCUCAGUUUCUCUGUGGUGGUGUGAUAGGGAUUAGACCAGCAGUUUCUAAGCUGUUCCCUGGAGACCGAGGGUGGAGUGGGAAGGGCACAAAGUGCUUCAGGGGUCCCUGAGGAGGUGAAAUGGAAGCUAAGCCACCAGCUCCCUCCGAGUAGAGCAAGGACACUUUAUAUACUGAGGUUCCUUGUAAGUUGCAAUGAACAAAUGGGCUGUUACUGAAAACAAAUUUGAAAAGCAAUGGUUUUAGAAUGAUUUCUUGGCUUUCUCCUGGCUCUAAUCUAGAACCAAAUAGUGGUGCGAGCUCAGAGAUGGGAAGCAGCUCCCAUGGGAGGAGGCUGAGCCAGGGCAGGGCACCCACAGGAGGGCCUUCCCUGGAAUGAGUUUCACCGGGAGAAAGAUGGGAGGUAUGGCAUCAACUCAUAGAAGAUACUUCAUUCUGGGGCCCCUCUGAGGAAACUCCUGGGAUUAGGGCUCUGGGAGAGGAGACAGUCUCUUUGGGUUUAAUGGCCCUGCUCCGUGGGAUUCCCUGGGUCUGAGGGCCCUAGCUCUGUUGGGUCUAAAAUGCUGUGACCUCUGUGGGGUCUAAAAUGGGUGUGGGGGCACCUGGCUGGGUCACUUGGUAGAGCAUGUGACUCUUCAUCUUGGGGGUCGUGAGUUCUAGCCCUACACUGGGUGCAGAGAUUACUUUAAAAAAUAAAUAAAAAUAAAAAUGAAAUGAGUGUGGAGUCCAGUGAAUGAAAAUACCAGUCUUCCUUAUGUUUUCUUCCUAGUCAAUUGUCUCAUAGUAAGGCCCCAGUCAGGCCUCAUAUCCAAAAUCUCCUAGGGCAGCAGAUACAGUCCUAUGGGACCAGGCCCAGGGAGGCACCACGAGCCAGCCCCAAACCCAUCAAAAACCACAGACACCAGAAGCUGCCACUCACCACAUUUUUUACAAAAUAAAGCUCUUCCCUUCCUUCCCCAUGUUCCCUGAGCUCCAGUCCUGAGCCUUGGGCAGGAGGGGAGAUGGAUGGGACACCUACAUGGCGUGCUCCUGCUGCUGGGGCACCGACCUGGCCCUCUGCGAGGCGUCCAGCCCGCCCCAGAAGCUGAGAUUUCUCCUGAGUGAGGUGAGCACCUGUACCUGGAGGUUGGAGACAGGGGCGGGGCUGGCGGCCAGAGCUGCAGUAGCCAUGGUGCGGUUCAGCAGCGGAUUGGGCGGAGUGCUGCUGGGCGGGUGUGUGGCCUUCCAAUAGGCUUCCAGGUAUUCGGCCAAGUGCUCGCAGGCAUCCUCCAAU